GACGAACGCUGGCGGCGUGCUUAACACAUGCAAGUCGAACGGAAAGGCCCUGCUUUUGUGGGGUGCUCGAGUGGCGAACGGGUGAGUAACACGUGAGUAACCUGCCCUUGACUUUGGGAUAACUUCAGGAAACUGGGGCUAAUACCGGAUAGGAGCUCCUGCUGCAUGGUGGGGGUUGGAAAGUUUCGGCGGUUGGGGAUGGACUCGCGGCUUAUCAGCUUGUUGGUGGGGUAGUGGCUUACCAAGGCUUUGACGGGUAGCCGGCCUGAGAGGGUGACCGGCCACAUUGGGACGGGGAUACGGCCCAGACGCAUACGGGAGGCAGCAGUGGGGAAUAUUGCACAAUGGGCGGAAGCCUGAUGCAGCAACGCCGGGUGCGGGAUGACGGCCUUCGGGUUGUAAACCGCUUUCGCCUGUGACGAAGCGUGAGUGACGGUAAUGGGGAAAGAAGCACCGGCUAACUACGU
rnacentral:rRNA from 1 species